GUUUUGGAGGGACGGGGCAAAGUUCUCAACCGUACGCUCAGUUGUUAUAAAGAAUGGUAACAAGCGCCGAAGAAAUCAGAGAUGACCACGCAUUGGUGAUCAUUUACAGAGAGACUGAAUGGGAGGGCCUGCUUGAUCACUGGAAGAAAAGACAGCUGAAAUUGUCAAAUCCCUAAAACAAAAUCCCCUAUGUACAUCUCCUUGGAGUUCCUUUUGUGUGCUGGGACUGUAACCCAGACGUUGAUGAAACGGGGGACUGCUGUCUGGUGAGGUCUGAUUGGAUUUUAAUUUCUGGAAAGUGUUUGUGGCAGCAGCGGGGCCAGACUGAUAAAGCGAACAAAACAGAAUGUUGAAUUCACGUCAUCAAGAUGGUCUUACAAGCCUACAAAUGUGUGUUUCCAGUGAGGAGAGAAAUUCCUCUAAGAUCUCUAAAUGUGGGCUCUGGGUUUGUUGAUAAAAGUCAAAAACAGCCUCUCAGCUUCUGAAGUUCUUUACAGUGCUUUUUCUACGUGUUUCAACCAGUGGCAGGCCAGUUCUGUUUCCUCAGCCAGUGAAAGAAGACCUCCAUUAAAAACAGCAGGACGGAAGGAGUGGACUUUUACCCCCAUGUUCAUAGAAUGACACACACAGCUGGCACCAGCUUUUAUUUAUGAUCGAGUUUUAUCAGUACGAGAGGGCUAAAUAUGACUCUUAAUAUCUCAAUAUUAAUUUAAUCAGUUGGCAAACCACUCUUAUCAGUAAUGACUCUGUUGUAAUAAUGAAUCUCUUGGACAUACAGUAGCCAAUAAAUUUUGAAAAGCUUAAUUGUGCAUUACAUCAUUAUAGUUUCCUUUUUCCAAGAUGGUUUCUUGACAUCUAAAUAUUUUCAAGAUUUCUGGCAUAAAUGGCAGCAUAAUUAUGUCAGAGCCAGCAUUCACUGGUGGAAGAAAACUAAGGACUAGAAGGAAACAUAUAAGGCACUGAGAAAUGAAGGUUAUGAUAUUGUAACCCUAGUUCUAUUAAAACAGGCGGCGCAUUCUUCUGGACUCUUUGGGUAUACAUACUGUGGGGUCCGCAUGUAUUCAGGUAGGCAAGUCUUGACUGACCGGCUACGUUUAUGCUUUUCCCAGUGUGCAUGCACGUGAUCAUUAAUAGAUAAGCAUCACCCAAAGAGUCUAGUAGGGGGCGGAGCCUGUGUGAGAUCGUGAGGGCAUUAACUGUAAAACUGAUAUUGAAAUAAUAUUUUCCAACAAAACUAAAGCAAUGCAUUAAAACUAUUUCCCUUCCCUGUUUAAGCCUUGUUAUUGUAAGAAACACCACUUUACAAAACACACUGAUUGAUUAGUCUUUACAAUGUGCAGGAAACUACUCUGUCCACGUUAACAUGUGACACAAAUGGAAGAUUGUUUAAUUUUUUGAACGGAAGUUUAGUUUAAUUGUUGUUAAAAUAAUCAAACCACCGACUUCAUAUUGUUUAUCAUUUCAGCAUGUGGAAAGAUCCUACAUGUCUGCCAAAUCAUCAGCAUCAAACAUA